UAAUGCAAGUCGAGCGCGCCCUUUCGGGGUGAGCGGCGGACGGGUGAGUAAAGCUUUGAGGAAUAUGCCCUUCUCUAAGGAAUAGCCUCUGGUAAAGAGAGUAAUACCUUAUACGCCCUUUGGGGGAAAGAUUUAUCGGAGAGGGAUUAGCCCGCGUUAGAUUAGGUAGUUGGUGGGGUAAUGGCCUACCAAGCCUACGAUCUAUAGCUGGUUUGAGAGGAUGAUCAGCCACACUGGGACUGAGACACGGCCCAGACUCCUACGGGAGGCAGCAGUAGGGAAUCUUAGACAAUGGGGGAAACCCUGAUCUAGCCAUGCCGCGUGUGUGAUGAAGGCCCUAGGGUCGUAAAGCACUUUCGCCAGAGAUGAUAAUGACAGUAUCUGGUAAAGAAACCCCGGCUAACUCCGUGCCAGCAGCCGCGGUAAUACGGAGGGGGUUAGCGUUGUUCGGAAUUACUGGGCGUAAAGCGCACGUAGGCGGAUUAGUAAGUUAGUGGU
rnacentral:rRNA from 1 species